CUUUGGGACCUUCACUUCCUGGUCGUGAUUCACUGUUGGCCCGUUCUGGUCGUUCAUGACUUUGAACUCACCACAUAGUCUUGUUCUGCCUCCAUGGUGGCCCAAGAGCCAAAGCGGCAUGAAGAUGAUUACACUGACCAAACAGGACUACUGUCAGAUCAACUCACUGCAAAUACGAUUUCUGCCCUCGAUGACUGUUUGUUACUCUCUGUAUGUGUCUUCAGUCUCAUGUCUCGUCCAGACAUAAAUAAACAUGGUAAACAAUCAACACUUAUUACAGUGGUAAGUGGAUCUUGCAUGAAUUAAAUGUAAAGAUUUCUGCACAUUUAAGUAACAUAUUUUACUCAUUCAGAUAUUUUACUCAUUCAGAUUUCGCACACCAAGACGCCAUAGUGCCAACAUGCUCUUUCUCAGUUGACUCGAAACGUCACUUCAAACGGGAGCUUCUUGUUGUGCAGAUCUUGUUUUUACUACAUUCCUG